CGUCACUUUAAAAGUGGUUGAAGUAUGUUUAGCAUUUUAAAUGAAAUUUUAGAAACGUUUUUACCAUGAAAUAAAUAUAUUUAUACAAUUUGUUGUAAUUCUUUUUCCUUCUCUUUGGAUGUCGGUUGGAUUGCUGCUAAUGCUAGCUUCGUCCACAGAAUCGGUUGCUGAGUCCAUAUCGGUAUUAAUUCUUCUUUUCGUAAGAAUAUUGCGACGAAUGCAGCAUGCAUAGAUUGUGUUACGCUACAUUAUCAUGGUUAUAAUCCAAAAGUCUUCCCUAGAAUAAGCACCUCAACUUUAAUUUGAAGACGCCUAAAUUGGAGCCAAAUCAUGUCAUAUUUUUAUGAUCUGCAUACUUUAUAUAUAUAUUUUUUUUUGUUAAGAGUUAAUACCAGCAAAUUGAAUGAUGUCCAGGAAAAGAAACUUGAUGAAGCAGGUCUGUUUUGGUAGGCGGAAAAGCUGUACACGUGGUCACUUACCUACUGUCAAUUCCGGAUAUAUACCCAGAAGAUUGAUUAUAAGCUUUGGCUGCAGUCGAGUGUUGAUGAGAAACACACACAGUCUAACAUUCUAGAUGAACCAUAGCUUGAAAUUAAUCUUCCAGAAUUAACUUCCGAACGGACGGUACUUAACUGGCAACCGCUAAAUCUCUGCCUCCUAACAAAGGAGACCUUCACUUCUUGUCAAACAUUAUUUAUACUACAUUUACAGAACGCAA